AACCGCCGUAUGCCGAACGGCACGUACGGUGGUGUGAGAGGGCUAUUUAUUUAGCCCUACUCGAU
rnacentral:ncRNA from 1 species